rnacentral:rRNA from 1 species
AGUGAACGCUGGCGGUAGGCCUAACACAUGCAAGUCGAACGGCAGCACAGUAAGAGCUUGCUCUUACGGGUGGCGAGUGGCGGACGGGUGCGGAAUACAUCGGAAUCUACUUUUUCGUGGGGGAUAACGUAGGGAAACUUACGCUAAUACCGCAUACGACCUACGGGUGAAAGCAGGGGAUCUUCGGACCUUGCGCGAUUGAAUGAGCCGAUGUCGGAUUAGCUAGUUGGCGGGGUAAAGGCCCACCAAGGCGACGAUCCGUAGCUGGUCUGAGAGGAUGAUCAGCCACACUGGAACUGGGACACGGUCCAGACUCCUACGGGAGGCAGCAGUGGGGAAUAUUGGACAAUGGGCGCAAGCCUGAUCCAGCCAUACCGCGUGGGUGAAGAAGGCCUGCGGGUUGUAAAGCCCUUUUGUUGGGAAAGAAAAGCAGCAGGUUAAUACCCCGCUGUUCUGACGGUACCCAAAGAAUAAGCACCGGCUAACUUCGU